AUGAAAGGAAGAUACCGAUCAAGGUUGGGUGAUAUAGAUACAAAUGUGUUAGGUGUAUGUGCACCUAACAUGCAGUUCAUUUACAAACUACCUGGUUGGGAGGGUUCUGCACAUGAUGGCCGUGUUCUUAGAGAUGCCAUCUCAAGGCCAAAUGGGUUGCGUGUCCAUGAAGAUCAAUAUUAUCUUGUUGAUGUUGCUUACACAAAUGCGAAAGGAUUUUUAGCUCCAUACCAUGGUCAAAGGUAUCACUUGGGUGGUUGGACAUCACAGAACCCACCUCGUAGUGCGGAGGAGUACUAUAACAUGCGGCACGCCAGAGCCCGAAAUAUUGUAGAAAGGUCUUUCGGAAGACUCAAGGGUCAGUGGGCGAUUUUCAGGUCCCCGUCCUUUUUCCUAUGA
rnacentral:rRNA from 1 species